rnacentral:rRNA from 1 species
CCUACGGGAGGCAGCAGUGGGGAAUAUUGCACAAUGGGCGAAAGCCUGAUGCAGCAACGCCGCGUGAGCGAUGAAUGCCUUCGGGUCGUAAAGCUCUGUCCACAAGGAAGAUAAUGACGGUACUUGAGGAGGAAGCCCCGGCUAACUACGGUCCGGCGGCCGCGGUAAUACGUAGGGGGCUAGCGUUAUCCGGAAUUACUGGGCGUAAAGGGGGUGUAGGUGGUUUAUAAGGUCAGAGGUGAAGGGCUACGGCUAAACCGUAGUAAGCCUUUGACACUGGGGAACUUGAGUGCAGUAGAGGUGGGUGGAAUUCGUGGUGUAGCGGUGAAAUGCGUAGAUAUUAGGAGGAACACCAAUUGCGAAGGCAGCUCUCUGGACUGUAACUGACACUGAGGCACGAAAGCGUGGGGAGCAAACAGGAUUAGAUACCCGUGUAGUC